rnacentral:lncRNA from 1 species
UCUGAGAGUUGUUGUAACUACAACAACAAGUAAUGGCAACCACAAACCCUUUCGAUCUCUUGGGCGAUGACGACAACGACGACCCCUCUCAGCUUGCUUCUCAUCUGCUCAAGCUCGCGCCUGCUAAGAAAUCCUCAGCGCCUCCUCCUCAGGCCGCUCCUGCGCAGCAGGCUAAGCCGGCUAAGUUGCCCUCUAAGCCUCUUCCCCCGGCUCAGGCUGGUGAGCUUUUCUUAAUUCGUUUAGUUUUCCUGGUUUUUGUUUUCUUUUUGUGAAUAGAUCUAUUUGAUUGUUGCGGAAUUGGGGGAAAUGAAGGAAAGGGGAUGAUUUUGAAUCUUGUGGUUGUUGUAGGUUUGGUUUCCAAAGAAGGGUUGAUAAGUGCUGACGAUGUAUGGAUUCUUUGUAUUUUAUGGUUCUGGGAUUUGUAUUGUGGCUGGACUAUCGGUUGCUUUUGUUUGCAUGUGUUUUUGUUCAGACUUGGUGUCGGUUAACCACUAUAUGUUUGCCACUAAGAAUUGUAGCAUUGGAGCUUAUCUUCCGAUCAUUUAACGGCGUGCUCUAUUGUGUUUGGGUUUGGAAUUUGUUGUGCGUGAAACUUGAAUAUUUGGGCUGAACUUAGAACUGUUCCGCCUGUGUAUUGAUUUGUUGAUGCUUGGUAUUUGAUGUGGACGUUUUGUUUUGCAUACUAUCUGAUGGAACAAGCCUAUAGUAUAAAAUGGGCUCAUUUAUGGAAAAGUUAAUUCUAUACGAACAAACAGGAAAAAGGGUGUACUGAAAUUUUUUUUGAACUCGUGUUGUUAUGGUUUCAUUUCAUAGCAAAGAAACCAUCACCCCAUUAAUAUCUCAAAUAUGCUAGCCUUGAUCAUCUGUAUUCAAUGUAUAAACUCCUUAUCCUAAUCCCAUUUACUUUCGAGUAAUGGCAUCGUCACAAUUGGUUGUGUAUAGACAAUUUUGGAUGCAGAUUGAGACCAUUUUAUACAGUUACUUGAAUAUGGAUUUUCUUUUGUUAAUGGAGUCCUUGAACAAAAUGAAAUUUGUGAACCCAAAUGCUUACAUUGGAACCUUUCAUUUCUAUUAGACAUCUUCAAUUAGCUGCCUUUUGUUAGUUUUUAAUUCCCUUCCUGUUUGUUUAGCUCGUCUUUUAUCUAUUGCAUGCUGAAAAGAGCCCUCCACUACACCCAGUUUUGGAAUUUGACUGUUUAGAAACUCUUGAGGAAAAGAUAAGGGUCCUUAUGUUUUCCUCUGUUUUACUUUUCAAGGAAAAGGAAGCUCAGCUUGAUUGUAUUUUGUUUUCAACUUAAAUGAGGGAUGGAGUUCUACUUUCUUUUGUUUUCCUGUUUUCCUUGUAACCAAAAGCAAAGCCAUUUGACAUCCUAAAUUAUGGAGCUUCAGCAUAUCAUUCUAGCAUUGAAGUAAUGGUUAUUCUCAUCACUUCCUUCUCUUUGUUGUUAAUUUAGUUUCUGCUUUGUGUUUUGUCGGUGAUUGCACUACUGUUGCUCUGAGGAUAUUUCAUAUUCAUAUGGGGUUUUUCAUCUAUGUCUUUACUUUUUUUCCUUUUUUUUUUGUGUGAACAACAUAUAUCAGAAAGUUAAACUUCAUUUUUGGUAUUUUAGGUUUUACUUGAAAUAUUCAUUUGUGUGUUAUAAUAUGAAUUGGUUUGUGGUGGAGGCAUAACAUCAUUGGGUUCUGGUAGUUUUCUUUGAAUAUUUGCUGUUAUAUUAAUUAUUGGUGCUUUUUCUUAAAUGCUUUCUUAAAUAAUGAGGCACCCCCUUUUUUAAUCUAUGGUGUUAGAGGAAUCUAAAACUAGCAUAUGCAUUUGACUUAAGUUUCAAAAUGUAUGUUUGUUUUCUUUUGGACAGUGAGGGAAACAAAGAAUGAAGUUGGGCGCGGAGGCGGCCGUGGCGGUGGACGUGGUUAUGGACGUGGACGUGGUGGAGCUGGAUUGAACAGAGACUCAUUCAAUAACGAAAGUACGCUUAACAACAAUGAUGGAUUCUCUGGAGGGUACAGACCAUCUGAAGAGGGCGAUACAGGCAAAUCUUCUG